CCUACGGGGGGCUGCAGUGGGGAAUUUUGCACAAUGGGCGAAAGCCUGAUGCAGCAACGCCGCGUGUGUGAUGAAGGUCUUCGGAUUGUAAAGCACUUUCGACCGGGACGAAAACCUGCUGGCUAACAUCCAGCAACUUGACGGUACCGGGAGAAGAAGCACCGGCUAACUCUGUGCCAGCAGCCGCGGUAAUACAGAGGGUGCAAGCGUUGUUCGGAAUUAUUGGGCGUAAAGCGCGUGUAGGCGGCUUUGCAAGUCGGGUGUGAAAUCCCUCA
rnacentral:rRNA from 1 species